rnacentral:rRNA from 1 species
UACGUAGGUGGCAAGCGUUGUCCGGAAUUAUUGGGCGUAAAGAGCUCGUAGGCGGUGAGUCACGUCGUUCGUGAAAACCUGCAGCUUAACUGUGGGCGUGCGGUCGAUACGGGCAUCACUGGAGUUCGGCAGGGGAGACUGGAAUUCCAGGUGUAGCGGUGAAAUGCGUAGAUAUCUGGAGGAACACCGGUGGCGAAGGCGGCGUCCUGGACCAACACUGACACUGAUGAGCGAAAGCCAGGGGAGCAAACGGG